AUGCACUCCGGGAACAAGAAAGAGCAUCUCAAUCAUGAGAGCACAAAUGAAAGACAGGGGCAUCAAGAUGAAGUCACAGACCCAGGUCUUCAUAUUCCUUCUGGUGCUCAUGGGGACAUUGUAAUGUCCCAGUCUCCUGAAUCCCUGCCUGCAUCAGUAGGAGAUAGAGUUACCAUAACCUGCAAGGCCAGUCAGAGUGUGAGUACUAAUGUAGCCUGGUACCAAAAGAAACCAGAACAGUCUCCUAAACUGCUGAUCUACUAUGCAUCCAGUCGGGAAUCUGGGGUCCCUGAUCACUUCACAGGCAGUGGAUCUGGGACAGACUUCACUCUCACCAUCAGCAGUGUGCAGGCUGAAGACAUGGUUGUUUAUUUCUGUCAGCAGCAUUAUAGCACUCCUCCCACAGUGCUUCAGCCUCCUACACAAACCUCCUUGAGAGUCCCACCAGCUGCCUGUCCCACAUACAGCUGCGGCUUUGCACACUUCUCUGCCUGA